ensembl:lncRNA
GACAAAGAGAGAGCCACACAAAUAAGGAGUGCCAGAGAGAGACAGAGAGAGAGAGAGAGAGAGAGAGACAGAGACAGAGACAGAGACAGAGAGAGAGAGAGAGAGAGAGAGAGACAGAGAGAGAGACAGAGAGAGAGAGAGACCGAGAGACCGAGAGAGAUCCAUCAUCAGCCCUUGCCUUUUUGAACCGGAGAGCCCUCCCCCGCGUCCUCCCCUCUCUCCUGGGCCGGAGGGUCCGCCGCUCGGUCUGCCCUCUGGGGCUCAGCGGCGGGCGGGUCCUCCCCGGGGGGGCCCGCCCCGUCCCCACAGCCCUCCCCACCGGGGACGGGGCGGGGGGACGCGGGGCCACCGGCCGGACGUUCGGGUCCAGCCGCGGAAGGUUGGAUGGAGGGUUGGGUGGAGGGUUGGAUGGAGGGUUGGGUGGAGGGUUGGAUGGAGGGUUGGGUGGAGGAAUGGAUGGAGGGUUGGAUGGAGGGUUCAAUGGUGGGUUGGAUGGAAGGUUGGGUGGAGAGUUGGGAGGAGGGUUCUAUGGAGGGUUGGGUAGAGAGUUGGGUGGAGGGUUCUAUGGAGGGUUCUAUGGAGGGUUGGGUUUCUAUGGAGGGUUGGGUGGGGGGUUGGGUCGAGGGUUGGGUCGAGGGUUGGGUGGGGGUGUUGGUGGAGCCGUCCUUCCGUGACGAACUGCAAGUCGAUGGAUGCAAAAUAAAUGACUGUAAUAACACCAGUUUCUAUGCGAAAAAGAAUGUGACUUGGGCGACCCAUUUCAGAAAGCAGGAAGCUACCCG